UCCGAAUUGGUGUAGGGGUUAACAUUGCCGCUUCUCAGGUUUGUGCAGUCUGUACAAAUUGGGUAAUCUGUGCGCGGCAGCCCGGGGUUCGAUUCCCCGAUUCGGAA